UUAUUUUUAAUGAAGAUUCAAGGCAGCAGCUAGUGAUCAGGUACAGAAAACUUGCCAAAUGAAGUUUUAAUUUUCGGCAAGUCGGUUGUUCUAUUGUAUAUUAGAAGACACCAAGAAAAGAGCAAUGAACGGUAUCUUAAAUGUUUUGAUGGAAUCAUCCUCAUCAGAGAGCUACGAUGAAACCAACACCGUUUCUUUGAAUAUGUGAAGGAGUCUGGCUGGGGGGUUAAAAGUUAGGCACAGUGGGAUUGGAAAAAAAUAGUGCAAAUUAGUCUGCUAAUUGUGAACGGAUACAUAUAUCUUCAAUGAAAACUGUGUCCGUAGCCGCCACAUGUCCACACAUGUCCUCACACCAUGAAAGAAGACAGUUCUGUACGACUUCCCCUUGCUCGUGUACUUUCCAGGUUUCAAUAGCGGGAUCGCACUGCCCAUCUUCCAAACAUCGGGUACUAUAAUAGCGUUCGGAAAGGCGGAGGACAGUUGUAAGGUAUUCGACUCCUGGUUCCAGUUUCUUCAGCAUCAGUUUAGAGCUUCCGUUUGGAACCAGUGACUUGGCGCCACGGAUGACAUUCGUAGUUUUAUGCGCUGUAAAUUGUGAUGGCUAUCCAGCGGUACGGAGAUCACGGUUACUACGAAUGGCUCCCCUUCUAUCCUUGUCACUUUCGGGUCGAUAAAUUGACGUUUAUCUAAGGAAAAUACCUCACAAGUAUCGUGCGAUCAUUGUCUCAUGAACUUUUGGGUCAGCAAAAUAAAGCUUACUUUUAUUUUUGUUUA